rnacentral:ncRNA from 1 species
ACACAGGGGUGCUACAAAGCGCUGUGGCUGAGAUUACACCCUAAUAACUUGAUCGGGAUAAUGCCCGCGAAAGGAGUAAU